ensembl:lncRNA
CCGGGAGUGCAACAUCCUAAAGCUCCAUAAGUCACCUGGAGAACACAUGGGAUGAAGUUUCCUGGUGGGUAGGCCUCUCUCCCUAGGGGGAUCAGGGUGGGUGAGGGACCUCCCAUAUGUCUGCCAUUGCCCCCUCAGUCACCUGGGAACUCCCAGGAGGCAACAGACCCUGGGGACAGGGCCUAGGCCUUGCGGGGCAGGGGUAGGGGUCUCUAAGCCUCCUAGGGUCCUUAGUGCACCAGUUCUGCUUCAGGAAUGUUUCCUUAAAUGACAGGUACUGGGUUGAGCCAAAUUGGAGGUUUUCAAGUGUUUACAAACAGAACUCUACACCCAGCUGAAACUCAAACUGGUCAAAACAGCUGCUCAAUGGAAAUGGGAAUGGAGGCCCCAGGUGGCCCACAGGAGAGCCCAUCCCCGGUCCCAUGGAGACUUGAGUGCUUGGAGGAGCCCAGUGAGAGCACUCGUGCAGGCUGUUUGAAUCUCUCGGGUUUUCAGAGAAAAGGGAUUCGCACUCAGACCCCCGACAUUAUUCCUAAAUUUAUCCUUCCUUCUUUCCCUCCCCUCAGGGAGAGUCUGAAAACUUUAAGGAGCUGUAUACAAAAGACAAAUCCUUGAGCAGACAACUGAUGACCAAAGUAGAGUGGAGGCUGGAGUCUGGAAAGAGAGAAGGGUGAGGUGGGAAGGGGGACGGGGCAGGGUGUGGCUUUGAUAGUUUCUCACUUAAACUUCCUCUGAAAAUUCCAGUCUGUCUUGUCCAGAUUAGCAAGAGGAGGGAUCUCUUUGGUCCACAGGCAGGUGGGCUGAAGUUUGUGGGCAGGGGGCCCUGGUCAUGGGACAUGGUGGUGCUGGCUGGGCUGGCACACAAUCAACACAUCUCUGGCUUCUGUGCAGGUCCCACCUGCUGGACUUAGCUUCUUCCUAAGUGGUUGGGGUGGGUUUAGCCCUCAGCCUAAGCCAGGCCCCCGCCGCUUCUGCUGCCUUCACCAUGCCUCCAAGGGGGGCAGCCCGCCCGCCCCAGGGAUGGGCACAGCAGGGAUUCCCACGGGCCAGGUGGACAAACAGGCUGCUCAGCCUUGGGUCCAAAUGGCUGGACCAGAGACAGAUCCGGGUGUAUUCUGGAACUCGCCACUGGGCCCCUCGAGCAGUCACAGCCAGUCAGUCACAGGAGUCCCACCUGAGUGCCCAGCUGGCAAGGACACAUGUCCCAGGUGGCUGAGGAGAAGUGUCUGGGGACCUGAUGGAUUCUGGAUUCUUAGUGGAUCCUUCCUGAACAGACAUCAGAAGCUUCAUGUAAAUGAGGGAGCAAAGUGUCCUGUCACCCCCUUCCCUGUUGAUCAGAGGUGGCACCUUGGGGUCCACAUCCUGAGUGGAUGAAGAAAGAGUUCUGUUCCAGGGAAUGUCCUGAGGGGCUCCUUAGGAAGUGCAGGCUUUGGCGUGGCCUCCGUUCCAGCCUGGGGGCCAGACUCUCCAGGGCCUGGGCCAGGCAGGAGCCACUCACCCAGGCUCCCAGGACACCCCGCCCUCUCCAUCCACGUCUCGGCCGAGGACACACCUGAGAACUGAGGGCACAGGGCUCCGGUCAGGGGUGGGAUGGGGGUUAGGUGAGCACAUGGGAACAGGGCCUCUGGCUGGGAGGGGCAAGUGGCCUCUCCUCUGUGGCCCUGAGCAGCUCGCUGCCCCUGUUGGGCCUCUGUCUCCUCAUCGGGGAGAUGCAGGGAUGAUGGUCCUGUGGCACAGGCCUCAAGGGGGGUGAUGGGCUAAAAGCGGGGAGAGGAGCAUGCGGAGCUUUCUGCCCUGCUCCCCCUGGAGGGGUGAGGGGAGGGCAGUGAUGACGGUCAUGGCACGAGUCCUCAGAGACCCUGUGAGGGAGGGGAGGACUCACCCUUUCCAGACGAGGAAACAGGCUCAGGGAGGCCAGACCAGGCCACACUUAGAGUGACAGUUGGAGCUGGGCUUGUUCUAGAAUCCUAGCACACUGGAGGUUGGAGUAGCCUUGGUGCCAGCUGGUUGGGGUCAGAUGUCCAGGGUCAAAGGCCGGUGGUGCUGGGGAGAAGUUGGGGGAGGGGAGCAUGGCCUCACUGACUUGUCCUCCAUCCUGGCAGGAGGGGCCCUCCACGUUUGCCACCCUGCAGUACACCCCCAGAGAGUCCAGAGCAUCAGAUGUCACAGGGCGUUGUCCCCUUCUUGGCCUUUCCUUGGUGAUCUGGUGAUGCUGCAUCUGGUGAUGGGUGACUAUCAGGAGGCUGGUGAGGCAGCAAAGCCACCUGAGGGAGGGCACAGCUGUGAGAGGUUUAUGAGCUGGACUCAGCCUCUCCCUCCUGCGGGGCCCACAGUGGGACAGAGAAGUUGGGCCCCUCCAGUCAGGCAGCAGGGGAAGGAGAUCAACCUCGAGAAAAGGACUGAGUUGUCCAUAGGUUUCCAUCUAUGCGACCUUGGAAGAGGAUGCAGCAAUUUGGCAGUGCAGCACAAUUCCUCAUGAGCCCCCUUUUGUACCUCAUGCUUUGGACCUGCUGGGUGCUGAGAGUGGAGUCUAUCUUGAUCAAGUCUUGGUCUUGAAGCCAAGAAGGCUGGCUGGGAACUGAUUGCUGUGCUCACCUUUGACCACUCAGCUCACCUGUGACCACCCAGCUCAAGACAACAGACCUGCCCCCUGCUAUGUCCACCGAGACAGCAGACCUACCUGCUGUUUCCAUCAAUCGCUGUGCCGACAGAGCAGUCUCACAACUAUUGUAAAAAGGACAUUUCAAUCAUAUAUGAACAUCCUGUUUGGGGGUAUAUAACCACUCUGUG